UUACGUUUAAUAUUAAGGUUAACAAUUUACGUUUAACUCCGAAAUUCAAUUUUUGAAUUGGUGUUAUCUUACUACUGCAAUGAUUAUUUUUUUUACAGUUUAGACAUAAUGAGGUCUGUUGUUGUCAUGAUAAAGUGAUGAACCUUCAUAUGUUUAUAUUUGUUAUUGUUUUCCAAGUAAAACUUAUGUGUGUCAUAGCUUUGUAAACAAUGAGUCAAGCUAAUUUGAGUGGGAGUUCCGUUGAAGAAGACGAUGUCUUUAGUUCUCAGUUCGCAGCCCUUCUUAAACCAAUUCGAGAGCUUACGAAGCAAGGAUUUUGGGAGCUGAAUAUUGCUGACAAGUUGGAAGAAUACGUCCAGUAUAUUCAAGAUUUACGUAUUGAAGUUAAUGUCAAUGGCGAGCAAAUGAAAUUAGAUUUUGCAAAAGCUGCCAUGGUGGUGCAAAAUAGUACGCAAAUCUAUAGCAAAAAAGUUGAACAGUUAUGGCUUUUACUUCAAGAAGUAAUUGAUUUUUUAAGCUCCAAUGGCAACAGCAAUGAAAAUGACGAAAAUCAAAUGCCUGGAUCAAAGCCCAAAAAAAAUUCACGCAGGAGACAUCAUAAAGGAGAUAUAGAUCUUUUAACAGAAUCGAUUCCACUCAAGUUUCGAAAAUUUGGAUCUAAGUUGAAGAAAAGAGGAUCCAAAGAUAUAAAAAAGUUGCAAACUCUGCCAUAUGAAAUCUUGCAAUUGGAAGAUGUCAUAGGAAGCUCAAAUCCUAUUAAAAUUAAACUUUACACUCUUUCAAAUGAGCAUUUGGGAUACCCUUCUGAUCUUAGAUCAAAUUUUCCUUUUGAUCCUCAUAAUUUAUUUCUCAAAAUUCACCAUGCACAUGGUAUAAUUUCCCAAUCCGAGGCCUUUGGCGAAAAUCAGGGCGAGCAUUGCGAUGCAAAUUUACUUCAAAAUGAACCAGCAGCUGCCGCUGCACAAACUGAUUCAGAUGACCUAGAAUUAGAAGACCAAGUUCCUAACUUAGACGGUUGGCAAAAUGAUGUUGAACCUGUUUCCGGCAGCGAAAUUAUUCCGCCAACAAUCGAGGAACACGAAAAUUCUACUGGCAUAAACGAAAAAGUAGUUGAUAGAAUGCGUCUACGCGAUAGAAUUCCUGCUCCUAUUCCUUUGGAAAAUCGAGAAGUGAUAGAUCCCUGGAGUGGUUUAGAGCCCUAUUCUGAUGGAGACGUUGUUGCGAAACCCUGUGGACAUCCAAUUCGAUGCAAAGUACCCUUGUCCUUGAGGAAGCGUAAAGAAGUCGGGAAAGAACCAAAGUAUGAAGAAUCACUUGUUGAUAUCGAUGAGUUUUUGGGGAAAUGCCAAAUGCUAAAGAUGCCUGUACUAAAAUGUUGCCAACCUGAUCCCGAAUUUUGGGAAGAUUACGUUCACUUCACUAAGACAACUGGAACCACUAUAAAAAAACAACAAAAAAUUCGUCCUGAAAGAGGAAACAUUCCAGAAGGAAUGGGAGAGCUGCAUCGAGACGAUCUCAUUAAUAACGAUGAUCAAGAUAACGAUGGCGCAGAUGGAGAAGACAGAUGUAACGAUUCUGGUGCUUUCGAUUUUUCAAGUGACAGUUUCCAUGCCGAGGACCCGGUGGGAUUUACUAGUCCCACGAAAGAAAUGGAUGAAUCAAAACAGUUUUUUGAACUUGUUCAGCAGUUUAUGGCGGAGUAUACUGCUUCAGCAAAAGAAUUUGUUACUUCAACUGAGUCAACUCGCCGUGUACAAGCUUGGCAUGAGAUGAUACAACCCAGACUUCAAGAGGCCGAAAGUCGUCGCGAUUUCGACAUCCAUCUCUACGGUAGUCGCAUCAUAGAAGAAUUCGGUUCCAAAGCAGCUAUAGGAAGCCAAUGCGCCUUUACAAAAAUUGUGAGAGACCAACCGAAAAACGAAGUAGCCCGCUACUUCUUGGCCACUCUUCAAUUGGCAAAUGCGUACAACGUCGAAAUUCAGCUACAAGAUGCAUUAAGUCUGGAUGGUGUCGAGUUGAAGCUCUUAUCCCGAGAGCGGCAUCACGAGCAUAUGGAUGGCUUCGUCUAGUCAGCGAAAGAGCAUGUGCCAUUCAGGGAGAGACGGCCAUAUCUACAUCGCUGACGUCUUUCUGGUUUCCUCCAUCUUUUGAUAUCUCUUUGAUGAAGAAUGUCUGAAACAUCUUCGAUGUCUUGAUCCUCGUCUUCGACAUCUUCCUCUUCUUCCACUUCCAUGUCAAAUAUGCGAACUUUUCGUUUAGCUGCAGAAAAGAUGGCUGCUACUUUUCGACUCGAAGACAACCCGAGGGCAGUAGCUUGAAAGUCGUUGAAGACGCGGAACGAACUAGCUUCUAUAAAGGUAUUAACAUCUACCGAUCGUAGGUUGCUUUGGCUAAGUACUGACGAAGCAAAAAGUUCCGUCUGGAAUGACGAGUUAAAUGGUCCUCGUCGUGACAUGAUGGGUGCCAAUUGUUCGCGCAAUAGGGCUAGGCUAAGUUGUAGGAAGAUACUGGUCGUGUUUUCUUCAGUCAAAAGUAAUACCGACAUAACCUCGUUGUUAUAAAACUGCAUGUCACUAAGCUUAUAUUCACCAGGCGGUAGAUGGUCGCACCUUCUAAAGGAGAAGAACGCUGCCCGCGUCAAAUUCUUGCGUUCCUUCUCCGAAGCGAAUUCAAACAAAUAAAACCCUGAUGAAGGAGUGGCUGAAUUAGUUAGGCCAAUCAAGUUGCAGCGGUCUUUAGGUUGGUUAAUGGACCGUGAAGUGAUUUUGAUCUUAUCUAGGCCAUCACUUUGACAGUCUAGAGUGAGAUUGGUCAUGAACGGCAGGGACGCAGUUUGUCCCACGGCUGAAGGAAUGGCUUCAAAACUAGCUUUGACCUGUUGUUCCAAAUGAGUAAAUUCUUGGACAAGAGACCGUUCAGCUCGUGGCUGGAAGAGGUCGGAAUCUGGAAAAUUCGUUAUAGUCUGACACGCUUCUGCCAACAUAUCCCAAGGGCGAGUUUUAGAGCUGGUGAUAGAAGUCAAUGAUUCGUUUCUUAAAUACUGUCCAAUACGAUCCAGGCGCACCUGUCCGUCUGUUUCGAAAUCUUUUGCCAAGAAGUUGGCGAUAAAUCGCACGUCUUGCUGGGUACUUGUAGCAAGUUCAGGUGGGAUGGGUUCAUCCGAAAGUCGAAGGAUAGUCACGUAUAGCCAGCGGAAAAAAGUUUUGAGGUACUUGAUUGAACCAUCUAUUACUUGUUGAAGCUCAGCUGUCUUGGCUGUAAAGGAACCGGCAGCCCGACAAGCACUCAAACACAAAUUCACUUGAAGGCCGAGGCAUGAGAAACGAUCUUCUUGUUUAGCCAACCCGCAAAGUUGAGUCAAAUAAUGCGAUAAUUGGUAGUUGGCACAUACAAUGUGUUUAACGAGCAGUUUCUGCAUGUUGCUGUAGGAUAAUUCUACAGCUUGUCCGAUACGUUUGAGACCUUUAUCGGUCAAAUCGGUUACUAGAAAUUUCUCUAGUUUAAUACCAGCAUGGCCAAACAUCAGAAGCUCCAUCAAAUCUACGGAUAAGCUACUUUGGCCAUCGUUAUUGUCAUACCGAACCAUUUUUGACUCCAAAUCGACUAGUGCAUCUUCCCAUGCUUCUUGAAGAGCUUUCUGGGCACUAAUUAGACAAUCCAUAAGUCCGGUUAUCUGUCGAUAGAGAACUCCUAGACCAUAUAAUUCCUUCAAACAAUAUGUUAUCAAUGGAGUGUCCACUGUCAUCAGAAGCACCUCCGAGCGUCCAGCUCGAAGGUCGGCUAGUAUGCACAGCUGGCUAUGGUCUCCGUUGGGACAAAUACUUCGAACAGCACCAAUCGUUUCGUUCAUACCACUCAGUUUGGAGAGUUUAAGAAGGCAGCAAGGAAACAAUCCAAAUGCAUACCCAUAAACUAACCCAUUUUUAAGACCAAUCCACAAAAGGCUCAGCAGCUCUUCAUUCUUCAAGUCUUUAUCACCUUCCAGCAUUGAUCCUGAAUCAAGUUUAGAAGAAUUCACUUUUGAUGGCUGAGGGAGCAGUUCUGGCAGUAAAAGAUUUUCAGCCUCUUCGUUCAAACUGGCGAUACUGUUUUCCCAAGAAAGGGCUGUAAUAGGUUCCCCACAUGGAUUAAAUGUGUGGACAAUAUCCCCGGAUUCAACAUCAACAAGAGUCAUGUCACCAGAGCUGUAUCCAACUGCAAGCACUACACUAUCUGGUCUCCAAACAAUUGCAGUGACUUUGACACCAUCUCCGGUUUUAGGAAGCUUCCAAACUUUACUCCAUGAUAGCCUACGAAGAAAAACUUCGCCUGAAAAUUAUUAAACCCCAAAAGAACUUAAGUAGUCUGACAUCAUAGUUGAAUGACAAAAUGUAAGUUUUCACCAGAACUGUUAGAGACGGCAAUAAGAUCUCGCCUCGAUGACCAAAGAAGAAUUUCAGUUGAAGCGGUGCCAAGAAUGUGUUUCUCAUCGCUCUGCCUCAUCAUACACGAAACCAUUUUAAACUAAUAGCCUAAUAGACCGACUGACACGUCAAAGUUACGCUGAAAGUACUUGAUAAAUAAGUUUUUACAAUCAACUUUUCAAAAUUUUAUUUUCGAUUUCUUUCAAUAUCUCACCUGGCGCAUCUAGCGGGAAAUUUUGAAACAGAUAUACGAAUAUGUCGAUUCGGUCCUCUGUCAAAAAACAAAAACAAAAAUCCAAAUAUCAUAAUUUCAAAAAUGUUAAUAUCGCAGACGAAUGUUUCGUGGUCUGCAGAAAAUAAAAUCUAAAUAUCAAUU
rnacentral:misc_RNA from 1 species